AAAGUCGUAACAAGGUUUCCGUAGGUGAACCUGCGGAAGGAUCAUUAAUGAAACGUUUGUCGAGAAGGGUUGUAGCUGGCCUCCAGGGGCACGUGCACGCCCCGAUCGCAUCCACCUCCAACACCUGUGCACCGCCUGUAGCUUGGGAUGAUCACGGGGCCCUGACCGGCCGCGAAUGCCCUCGUCUACGAAUGUUUUGACACACACCACAAAGUAUCACAGAAUGUAUAUCAAACUGCGUCUGAUAAACGCGACAAAUACAACUUUCAACAACGGAUCUCUUGGCUCUC
rnacentral:misc_RNA from 1 species